GACGAACGCUGGCGGCGUGCCUAAUACAUGCAAGUCGAACGAGAGCGACCGGUGCUUGCACUGGUCAAUCUAGUGGCGAACGGGUGAGUAACACGUGGGUAACCUGCCCAUCAGAGGGGGAUAACAUUCGGAAACGGAUGCUAAAACCGCAUAGGUCUUCGAACCGCAUGGUUUGAAGAGGAAAAGAGGCGCAAGCUUCUGCUGAUGGAUGGACCCGCGGUGCAUUAGCUAGUUGGUGAGGUAACGGCUCACCAAGGCCGUGAUGCAUAGCCGACCUGAGAGGGUGAUCGGCCACAUUGGGACUGAGACACGGCCCAAACUCCUACGGGAGGCAGCAGUAGGGAGUCUUCCGCAAUGGACGCAAGUCUGACGGAGCAACGCCGCGUGAGUGAAGAAGGUUUUCGGAUCGUAAAACUCUGUUGUUAGAGAAGAACAAGUGCUAGAGUAACUGUUAGCACCUUGACGGUAUCUAACCAGAAAGCCACGGCUAACUACGUG
rnacentral:rRNA from 1 species